CUUGCGCUCAGACUUAACUCUCACUCCUGCGUCGCAUGCAUCGAAUAUUAGAUUAACAGACGGGCUUAAUCACGAAGACGCUGCAACAGUGGCUGCAAUACGGCUGAUACGACUGGAGAUGAGUAGAUCAUGUAAUAAUAUCUAGUAGUGUGCUGAACCACCUCGACUGCGGGUCUGGGUGGCAAUAUUUGUGUCUCAUGCUGUGCCAUUUUGGUACUUGGUCUUAAAGCAAGCGACCACUCGUCUUGGGAACUUACUGACGCCGAGAUAAAAUAGGUGGCGCUCCUUGAGAGACGCUCCCAAACAUGGGCCGAUGUGUCGAAGUGGCCUCUUGGGGCUGGGUCAUCUUGAUCAGCGCUGUCGUCAUGCGUACCGUGAACAACGGAAUCGUGACGUCAUUCGGAGAGUUUCUUGGUAUUUUCAAAGCAUUGUUUCCUACUUCCAAGAUGGCUUUUCUAGACACCAUAGGCGCUACGGCGUACGGCAUCACCAGCAUCGGGACGCCGCUAGCCCUGGUCAUGAAACGCUGCUUCGGGGCCCGGAAG